UACGGAGGAUGCAAGCGUUAUCCGGAAUGAUUUGGGCGUAAAGCGUCCGCAGGUGGCUAUGUAAGUCUGCUGUUAAAGAGUGAGGCUCAACCUCAUAAAAGCAGUGGAAACUACAUGGCUAGAGUGCGUUCGGGGCAGAGGGAAUUCCUGGUGUAGCGGUGAAAUGCGUAGAGAUCAGGAAGAACACCGGUGGCGAAAGCGCUCUGCUAGGCCGCAACUGACACUCAUGGACGAAAGCUAGGGGAGCGAAUGGG
rnacentral:rRNA from 1 species